ACUGACGAGUUUGAUCAUGGCUCAGAUUGAACGCUGGCGGAAUGCUUUACACAUGCAAGUCGAACGGUAGAGGGGGCAACCCCUUGAGAGUGGCGAACGGGUGAGUAAUAUAUCGGAACGUGCCCAGUCGUGGGGGAUAACGUAGCGAAAGUUACGCUAAUACCGCAUACGAUCUAAGGAUGAAAGCGGGGGAUCGCAAGACCUCGCGCGAUUGGAGCGGCCGAUAUCAGAUUAGGUAGUUGGUGGGGUAAAGGCUCACCAAGCCAACGAUCUGUAGCUGGUCUGAGAGGACGACCAGCCACACUGGAACUGAGACACGGUCCAGACUCCUACGGGAGGCAGCAGUGGGGAAUUUUGGACAAUGGACGCAAGUCUGAUCCAGCCAUUCCGCGUGCAGGAUGAAGGCCCUCGGGUUGUAAACUGCUUUUGUACGGAACGAAAAGGUUUCUAUUAAUACUAGGAGCUCAUGACGGUACCGUAAGAAUAAGCACCGGCUAACUACGUG
rnacentral:rRNA from 1 species